rnacentral:rRNA from 1 species
AACGAACGCUGGCGGCAUGCCUAACACAUGCAAGUCGAACGAGACCUUCGGGUCUAGUGGCGCACGGGUGAGUAACGCGUGGGAACCUGCCCUUAGGUUCGGAAUAACUCCCCGACAGGGGUGCUAAUACCGGAUAAUGUCUUCGGACCAAAGAUUUAUCGCCUUUGGAUGGGCCCGCGUUGGAUUAGCUAGUUGGUAGGGUAAAAGCCUACCAAGGCGACGAUCCAUAGCUGGUCUGAGAGGAUGAUCAGCCACACUGGGACUGAGACACGGCCCAGACUCCUACGGGAGGCAGCAGUGGGGAAUAUUGGACAAUGGGCGAAAGCCUGAUCCAGCAAUGCCGCGUGAGUGAUGAAGGCCUUAGGGUUGUAAAGCUCUUUUACCCGGGAUGAUAAUGACAGUACCGGGAGAAUAAGCUCCGGCUAACUCCGUG